AAUCAAGUGUUUUUAUGGCACUUUCGAAAAUCCAUAUCCACCUUGUGUGCAAUGUCAUCUCACUGGAGGUCACGGCUGUAGCAAUCCGUUGGUCACCUUUGGGAUUUAUACCUACUCAGAACUUUAGUGAUUUUGUCUGAAACAUAUUAUGAAUAACUUAAUUCAAAAUACAACUUUCAACAAUGGAUAUCUUGGUUCU
rnacentral:misc_RNA from 1 species